CAGUCGCCACGGGAAUACAGAGGGUGCGAGCGUUAAUCGGAUUUACUGGGCGUAAAGCGUGCGUAGGCGGCUUCUUAAGUCGGAUGUGAAAUCCCUGAGCUUAACUUAGGAAUUGCAUUCGAUACUGGGAAGCUAGAGUAUGGGAGAGGAUGGUAGAAUUCCAGGUGUAGCGGUGAAAUGCGUAGAGAUCUGGAGGAAUACCGAUGGCGAAGGCAGCCAUCUGGCCUAAUACUGACGCUGAGGUACGAAAGCAUGGGGAGCAAACAGGAUUAGAUACCCGCGUAGUCCCUGUCUCUUAUAC
rnacentral:rRNA from 1 species